GCGCUUACCACGGUAGGAUUCGUGACUGGGGUGAAGUCGUAACAAGGUAGCCGUAUCGGAAGGUGCGGCUGGAUCACCUCCUUUCUAGA
rnacentral:rRNA from 1 species